ensembl:lncRNA
CUAAUCCUUCAGCUGAACGCUGAUAUAGAAAUGACUUUCCUUUCCUUUGUGGUAUAUAUUCAUCAGAGUUAAAAAGAAAGGAAGGAAGGAAGGAAGGAAGGAAGGAAAGGAAGAAAGAAACACAGCAGGCAGUGAAGUGCUUAAGCCCUCCCCUCCUCACUUUCUGAUUCGGAAGACAUAUUUACAAAUCACAUUGUACAGGAGGCUUCCAGACUUUGAAUACCCGUAAGCAAGCAUUGACAUGGAAAAACACUGAAGAAGAUGAUGAAAUCCUACUUUCAGAAGUCUGAAACUGCUCAUCAUAAAACAAAGGAAAAAAAAAGGCUUCCUCAUUCAUAGUAAGAAAUAAACUUGCAGACCUACUCAGGACCACUGAAGUUCAAAAGAAAGUUUAGAGGCCUCACUGAAAAAACAUGCACUCAUACUACAGAAGAAAAUCGGUCCAAAAAUAGGCCCAAUAUGAU